GGUCGCUGCAUAAAGCCAGAUCAAGCAAAACAAACAAGGAAAACUUCACAAACAAGGUAUGCUACUAGCCAACUCAGAAACCCUUUCCUGGUAGCACUUCUCACUCUUUAAAGCAAUGAUUAGCUUUCCAUUUCCAAAAGGUGGUUAAGAUUUUAUUAGCAUCUAAGCAAGAUUGUCAAAUUGGUGAAGAAGAAAGAUUAAGAAUAGAAAGAAGUUGCACAGCUAGAAGGUCUUAUGUUGGAAUGCCACGGUUACAAGACACUUGAUAUUGCCACAGCAUUUGAAAUUUCCAAUUAUCAAGGAAAGACACCAUCAGAAGAAAGGGAAUUACUGAAAAAUACUACGAAAUUUGGGGAUUCAUCCACUGACAUACUAGCAGAUACAAAAAAAAAAAAAAAAGAUUGACAACCAAAAAAAAAAUGAGAACGAAGAUGAAUUACUUAAAAGAGCCAGAAGAUAACAGGCAAGCUCAAAGAGCCAGACAUUGAGAUCGAAGAAUAUGCUCUGUAGUAGUAAAUUUGAAAAUGCAAAGAAAGAACUACAAUCAUUACUCUACCUAAGAUUGUGCUCAGCCUCAAAAGUUUCUGCAAGUGGGCUUCUAUUGAUGCUCCAGUAACUUAAUCAUAAGGUAUGUUUUUCAUGCCAACAAAGAUUUAACAUUGACCAGUCAAUCAUGCAAAGUUAAGGACUUGGGGCUUUCAAAACUUUUUGUAAUAGAGGCGAUAGAAAUAUGUUCUGCCCAUGUGAAUGUCCAUUCAAAGACACCAAGAAGCUUUAGAACUCAAGUCAGAUGCGUGCAAAACUGAAGCUGUAGCCUUGGCUAUUAUGCUGCUCUAGAUGGGAUGAGUCAAUGGUCAUGAGAAAGCAAGUUAAUGCUACUAUUUCAUAAGCUUUUGUGCAAUGAUUCAGUAAAAUUGACCUUAAUGAAUAACAAAAAAUUAAGAAAUUAGAUUAUUUAUCCACACUCUGGCUCUUUCAUGUAAUAGUUAUAAAGGAAUCCAACAUUAAAAGCUCGUUGGGAAAAUGCAAUAACAAAAAGACGUACAUGUCAAAAUUGAAGUGACUUCAACUAAAUCUUAUAAAGGACUGAAGAAAAGAGUUGCUAAUAAAAUCAUGGAAAACUGAUGACUUAUAAUGUAAAAAUGAUGGCAGUAGGAAGAAUAAAACGGCAACCAAAAGCAGAAGAGAAUAAAAUGUUUACAGCUUUACCCUUUCCCUACUAUCUUCCCAUUUCUUGGAUAAUCAGCGCUUUUAAUUUCCCUUCUCUUAGAAACCCAUCCCAUUAGAUAAAAAUGCAAAUCAAGAUUUAUAAAUAAA